UACGUAGGUGGCGAGCGUUGUCCGGAAUUACUGGGUGUAAAGGGCGUGUAGGCGGGAUUGUAAGUCAGAUGUGAAAUUCUUGAGCUCAACUCAAGCGCUGCAUCUGAAACUGCGAUUCUUGAGUGCUGGAGAGGAUAGUGGAAUUCCUAGUGUAGCGGUGAAAUGCGUAGAUAUUAGGAGGAACACCAGUGGCGAAGGCGGCUAUCUGGACAGUAACUGACGCUGAGGCGCGAAAGCGUGGGGAGCAAACAGG
rnacentral:rRNA from 1 species